ACUUUCUUAGUAUAAUCAAUACUAAUGGCUUCCAACCAUUUAAUCCUAGUUUAACCCUAAGAGAAAGUA
rnacentral:tRNA from 1 species